GAGAGAGAGAGAGAGAGAGAGAGAGAGGGAGAGGGAGAGGGAGAAGGAGAGAGAGGCACAAGAGGGGCCUGGAAAGAUAACGAGAAUUGGUCUUCGUGGAGAAACUAAUGACUUCACGGAAUUUACUUCGAUGGAGUAUUUCAGUUGUUUGUGUCUGAAGCGGAACAGGAAACCAGACUCUCAGCUACACUUCAUUUAGACGCGCCAGGUGUGUGUGUGCGUGUGUGAAGUGGUGGAGGUGAAGUGCAUGAAAGGUAAAGUGUGGAAAUGGAUGAUAGUUGAAGUUUCGCGUUGCAUAUAUAUAAAAGAAAGAAGUAUUUAGUGGAUGAAAUACAGUUACGUGAAGGUGAAAGGGGAAGGUUAAAAGGAAGAAAGGAUAGGAAGGUGAAAUGAGGGAAUGGAUGACAGGUGAAGUUAUGCACGUUGAAUAUAUUUAACAGGGAAGUAUUUAGUGGAUGAAAAACAGUUACGUGAAGGUGAAAAGGGAAGGUUAAAGGGAAGAAAGGAAGAAAGGAUAGGAAGGUGAAAUGAGGGAAUGGAUGAUAGAUGAAGUUUCGGGUUGAAUAUAUAUAAAACAAAGAAGUAUUUACUGGAUGAAAAAUAGCAACGUGAAGGUGAAAAGGGAAGGGAAAAAAAGAAGAAAGAAAGAAACGAUAGGAAAGUGAAAGGAGGGAAUGGAUGACAGAUGAGGUAAUGCGUGGAAUAUAUCUAACAAGGAA